rnacentral:rRNA from 1 species
CCUACGGGAGGCAGCAGUGGGGAAUUUUGGACAAUGGGCGAAAGCCUGAUCCAGCCAUUCCGCGUGCAGGACGAAGGCCUUCGGGUUGUAAACUGCUUUUGUACGGAACGAAAAAGCUCUUACUAAUACUAGGAGUUCAUGACGGUACCGUAAGAAUAAGCACCGGCUAACUACGUGCCAGCAGCCGCGGUAAUACGUAGGGUGCGAGCGUUAAUCGGAAUUACUGGGCGUAAAGCGUGCGCAGGCGGUUAUAUAAGACAGAUGUGAAAUCCCCGGGCUCAACCUGGGAACUGCAUUUGUGACUGUAUAGCUAGAGUACGGUAGAGGGGGAUGGAAUUCCGCGUGUAGCAGUGAAAUGCGUAGAUAUGCGGAGGAACACCGAUGGCGAAGGCAAUCCCCUGGACCUGUACUGACGCUCAUGCACGAAAGCGUGGGGAGCAAACAGGAUUAGAUACCCUGGUAGUCCACGCCCUAAACGAUGUCAACUGGUUGUUGGGUCUUUGCUGACUCAGUAACGAAGCUAACGCGUGAAGUUGACCGCCUGGGGAGUACGGCCGCAAGGUUGAAACUCAAAGGAUUGACGG